CAUCUCUCCGGACCCCCAUUUCAAUGACAUGACCGUUUUCUAGGCGACGAGUUGGUCAAAUAUCACCAUCUGCUAGUUAUGAAAGUAGAUACGUGAUGUUCGACCGACUCGAGUCGAAUACCCUUCGAUUCAU
rnacentral:pre_miRNA from 1 species